rnacentral:lncRNA from 1 species
UUUCUUUUGUCAAAGCCUGUUGUUGUGCUUCACCCGGACCUGCUCAUCUCUGAUCUUAUCCUUGGGGAUGUGCAUGAAACCAAAUGCAUCGCUUCCGGCACUCCCUUUCAUCUGCGUGAUAAUGAUUUUUGCCUCAUCACUUCAAGAAGUGUCUGUGGGUGGAAACAUGAUGAAGGGAAUCAUAAAACAAGGAGCCUCAUGAGCAGCUGAAGUAACACGAACUAAUUUCAUAAGCAUUUGUCUGAGGAUGAUCUCUCAUGUAGGUUACGUGAUAAACAAAACAGGGUGGAAGGUUUUCAUCUCUUGCACCUGUGCAGCUGCCACCAGAGGUGAGCACCAGCUCGCUCCUCUGGACGCAGCCACUUCUGCAGACCUGGGAGUUUUGACAUUUGUGGACUUGAAGGACGGAAACAGAAGAUUCAGUCAGGAAGAUUUGUUUGCCUUUUGGAGGAGGUACCGCUGGGGUAAAGCCACACUACGGAAAUUGGGAGUUUUGUCGUCUUCUUUCGAUGCCCUUCAUACAUUUGGCAGCUGUUCUGCAUCAUCCUCAAGACAUCACAGCCAUUGUAAAGUGCAUCUAGCAAUGAAAAGUCUUCUGCCAUCUAACACCAAGCAACCCUUCCUUUCCAGGCCUGUAUGCAUGAAGUCGCAUGCACGCACGCAGCCUCGAGACUAAGAAUGAAACAAAUCUUGUUUUAUGAUGCCAAGGCUGAGAAUAAUAUUUCACACUGAAAUAUUUUAAGAGUUCAAGGGUUGGAAAAAUCUUAACAACACGAGGAUGGAACUGGAGUAAGCAAAACUCAGGAAAUGCUCAUGAAAUCCUAUCACUUGAAAGCUGCCUACAAAAAGCACACAGAAGCAUUUCUGAGAAAAUUUUCUAUUUGCACAGAAACAUUAACUGGAUGAUCUACUGUGUUUGUUUUUUUUAUUAUUAUUCAUUUGUUGUGUUUUUUUUUCUAUAAUGUAUUUUUAAUUAUAUUUUCUGUAUCCAUAUUCAUCACGACAACACCAUCUGUCAUUCUGAUAAUGAAAAUAAAUAAACUAACGUUGAAUUCUAAGACUGCA